AUUGAACGCUGGCGGCAUGCCUUACACAUGCAAGUCGAACGGCAGCACGGGAGCAAUCCUGGUGGCGAGUGGCGAACGGGUGAGUAAUAUAUCGGAACGUGCCCAGUCGUGGGGGAUAACGUAGCGAAAGCUACGCUAAUACCGCAUACGAUCUAUGGAUGAAAGCGGGGGAUCGCAAGACCUCGCGCGAUUGGAGCGGCCGAUAUCAGAUUAGGUAGUUGGUGGGGUAAAAGCCUACCAAGCCUUCGAUCUGUAGCUGGUCUGAGAGGACGACCAGCCACACUGGAACUGAGACACGGUCCAGACUCCUACGGGAGGCAGCAGUGGGAAUAUUGGACAAGUGGGGGCAACCCUGAUCCAGCCAUGCCGCGUGCAGGAUGAAGGCC
rnacentral:rRNA from 1 species